rnacentral:rRNA from 1 species
CCUACGGGAGGCAGCAGUGGGGAAUCUUGGACAAUGGGCGAAAGCCUGAUCCAGCCAUGCCGCGUGAGUGAUGAAGGCCUUCGGGUUGUAAAGCUCUGUCAGGGGGGAAGAACAAAUCGUGUGACCCACGAUCUUGACGUUACCCCCAAAGGAAGCACCGGCUAACUCCGUGCCAGCAGCCGCGGUAAU